AUGGAAGUUGCCAUGGGGACAAGGUUCCAUCUGGCUUCAGAUCCUGGCGCUGAGAUCUAUUCUGUCUCCUUAGUUUGUACUGGGUGUUCACCUCCCUGUCUCUCUAACUUCAGUUUCCUAUAUGACUCCACUUUUUCAAACAGCAUGCCUCUGCCUAUCCAUGAUGUCUCAGCCACCUUUCUCAGUGAUCAGGAUAGAACAGACGCUUAUGCCAAAGAAUUCCAGAGAAGCAGAUCCUGGUCAGAUGCCACGGUCCUCGGCAGGCUGCGCAGCAAGAGGAGCUCAGACAUGAGCCGACCUGUCCUUGUCCUGGAAGGCUGAUGAAUGAGAAAAACAGAAUCAGACAAAAGAACUGGGGGCAAAUGGUUCCUUGUAUACAACUUGAAACCGAAUCAUCAAGAAGGCAACCGACUGAAUGGGAGAGGAUAUUUGCAAAUGAUAUACCCAAAAGGGGGUUCAUACCCAAAAUAUAUCAAGAACUUGUACAACUCAACACCAAAAAAACAAUCCAAUUAAAAAAUGGGCAGAGGAGGGGUGCUUGGGUUGCUCGGUCAUUGAAGUGUCAGACUCAAUUUCAGCUCAGGUCAGUGUUUCAUGGUUCUUGAGUUCAAGCCCUGCUUUGGGCUCUGCACUGACAGUGUGAAACCUACUUGGGGUUCUCUCUCUGCCCCUCCUCCUGCUCUCUCUCUCUCAAAAUAAAUAAACAUUUUUUUAAAUGGGCA
rnacentral:lncRNA from 1 species